rnacentral:rRNA from 1 species
GACGAACGCUGGCGGCGUGCUUAACACAUGCAAGUCGAACGGAAAGGCCCUGCUUUUGUGGGGUGCUCGAGUGGCGAACGGGUGAGUAACACGUGAGUAACCUGCCCUUGACUUUGGGAUAACUUCAGGAAACUGGGGCUAAUACCGGAUAGGAGCUCCUGCUGCAUGGUGGGGGUUGGAAAGUUUCGGCGGUUGGGGAUGGACUCGCGGCUUAUCAGCUUGUUGGUGGGGUAGUGGCUGACCAAGGCUUUGACGGGUAGCCGGCCUGGGAGGGUGACCGGCGACAUUGGGACUGAGAUACGGCCCAGACUCCUACGGGAGGCAGCAGUGGGGAAUAUUGCACAAUGGGGGGGAGCCUGAGGCAGCAACGCCGCGUGCGGGAUGACGGCCUUCGGGUUGUAAACCGCUUUCGCCUGUGACGAAGCGUGAGUGACGGUAAUGGGUAAAGAAGCACCGGCUAACUACGUG